GUGAGAGAGAGAGAGAGAGAGAGAGAGUGGUAUUUGAUUCAAAACCAAGAUAGAGAGAGAUGAUAUCUGCAAUUUUCUAAGACCAGGGGAGUGCGAAGGUUACAGAGAGAGAGAGAGCAACGGAAACAGAAAGAGAAAGAAUACGAGGCAGAUACAGAAUGCCAACAGAAGCCCAUCCUUAGAUCUACUCGGGGCUCUUUAAACUGUCCGCUGCCUCAAUACCUAACUCGAAAUGCAAUGGUGGUUCUUGGUCAGGGUUCUACCUCGAGACAUCCAAAGCAAUGCCCCAUUCAGACUCAGGCGAUCUCCAAUCAUACUGGCACCCCAAGGUUGGCAAAGAGGAAGAAAAAAAUAGACAAAUUUCAUUCUGUAUCAAAAUCGAAUACAAGCAAUGAUGAAGUGGACUUUGGAAAGUUUAAAUUCCAAAGUGAUUUUCCUUCAAGCUCAGGCACAACCAGCUGCUGUUCUUUCUGCACCCCGUGAGGUUGUAUAUGACAACCAUCUGCCAAUAACGAAGGCUAAUGAAGCCUCAAAUAUAGUUGGGAGCAGACCAGAAACGAGUGCCAACAACUGUAAUAAAAGAGGAGAGCAUGUAGGCUGAACUUUUAGUCUUAACAUAACAGAAAUGGCUGAAAUGCUGGAUGACGACUCUUUUGAUCUCAGCAAGUUAACAUCUUCUCUUGAUUGUGCUUUGGUCAUAGUUGAUGGGUACACAGUGAAGCCGGAAUGGGCAUCUCUCCUUAACGCCAUAUUUUUGAGAUAUGGAGAUAUUGCUAAGGAAACUGUAAAGCUGGAAGUUGGAUGGCUGCAUCAGAGGCUGGAAUGAUAUUUCCGAGGCCUUGCAGCUGUUCAUGGACUAUUCCAGCCUGAAGGAGGCACAAAGAAGAAGAAUUCCAGUCAUUGACAAAAAAGAGGAAGACUUAAAAAGAUUGUAGGCUGAGGCUGAGAAGAUUGACGAGACAAUCUUAUAGAAAAAGGCAGAAGUCAAAUGUUUUUAUCGGCAGUCUUUGGUAUGCAGCUUACUUUAGUAAAAUACAUCCUUUGCAGUUUAUGGCUUAUAUUGCUUACUUUGCCUUGUGCUUUUUGACAAUCACCUACAAGUCACCAGAAAAAAUUUAAAACAAGGAAUGCAGAAUGAAUCGUAUUUGUAGUGGCUGCAUGUCUAUUUAUUUGGUGUUUGUUGGGGGGAGCAGGGUUGUUUGUAUACUUAUUAUCCCUCUAUUUAGAUUUAACUUGUUUCUUUCCUCUUCCUUGGCGUGUUUUAUAUGGUAGAUGUUUCGAGAUACUGUAGCUUGCUUCUUUGCUCUUCCUUGGCGUGUUUGAUGCUACAUGUUCAAGAUAAAUGGUGGUUUGUGUUGCACACCACCAUGUAUUGAUUGUAGCAAUCUGUUAUCUUGUUUAGUAACUCUUUACUAUCAAAAUUACUGCUUGAAAUUGGCUGUACAUGGCAGAGGACUAGCGCUCUGCAAAGUUCUUUGGGGGCAAAAAAAAAAAAAAAAGGAUAAUGGAAUCAUGUAAACUCUAGGUCUGCAGCUGGUCUAUUUAGAGCAUAUAGAAAACUUAUUAGAGUGUAAAAAAAAAUAAAUGUAAUGUCAUUUAAUGUAACGGUUGUUGCUGGCUAAUUUACCGGGAGAAUAAGUUGUUAAUUGGUGGUAGACAAUAAAAUAUUUAAAUUCUAGCAGGUAGAGAAGCCUGGAUUCAACUCUAUGCAACCUGAUUGCUUCACUUGCUCUCAGUCGUGUUGCCAUAAUUCACUUCAAUCAGUAUUUCUCCUUGUCGGGUAGAUAUAAUAGUUGUUAGGGAACGACAAAAUGGUUACACCAAAUCAAAUACCCAUUUCAAUUUAUUUUUUAAAAGGAUAAUACCUGAAUUCUCAUGAAAAUAUUCACCAAAAGGCAAUUAUAUUACCACCACAAGUCCACGAGUCUGGCUUCAAUAAACCAGACAAUUGAACUUUUUCUUGGAAAAUUUAGAAAGGAAAAGAAGGAAAAAAUAUGAAAAAGAGAAAGAAACAGACAAUGCAAACAUAGUAGAGCAUAAUGCCUUCUUGCUUCCGUAAUUAUGUGGUCUUAAGUGUUGAUCUUCCUGCAGUUCGUUGUGAUCUCUACCUUUGUACUAGUCAAUGGAGUGAUAUUUCCCAUCUUGAUCAUGGACUUGGCAAAUUGCUCAAAGAAAAGCUCGUUAAUCUCUGCGUAUUUCUUCACUAACUCCAUUGAUGCUUCGUUCUUAGUCAUAAGAACUUGGUAAGAACUUAAGAGGCCCUUUGAGGCUAACAAGUUCUUGAAGUUGCUGUUAUCAAACUUUGUAGGAGUGACAAAGUCCAAGAAAAUAGGUUCUGGUCACUACCAGAUCUUAGGCACUGGGUGUGCAAUUGAGCAGCAUAUGACUGCUCCAGCACGUAGUCAGGUUGCCCAUUGUCGGAUUGAUUGCAGAGCCUCUGCCUGAAGCUGGUGCAUCUUGAAUUCCCAAAUUUUGUUAAAAAAUAGAAUAUCAAUAUAGGUCUAGCAUGUGUAAAGGUUAGAGUAAAGAUCAGACAUACUCAAGCCAGUUACAAAGUAAUGAGCUUUGAGAAAUGCAUUAGUUUGAAAUAGUUAUGGACUACAAUGGUCUAGAGACCAAAUGAUGUUUAUCAUCACCAUCACCAUCAUCAUCAUCAUCAUCAUCCUUGCCUUGAUCCCAUA